rnacentral:rRNA from 1 species
UGGGGAAUAUUGGACAAUGGGGGAAACCCUGAUCCAGCAAUGCCGCGUGAGUGAUGAAGGCCUUCGGGUUGUAAAGCUCUUUUGUCAGGGACGAUGAUGACGGUACCUGACGAAUAAGCUCCGGCUAACUUCGUGCCAGCAGCCGCGGUAAUACGAGGGGAGCUAGCGUUGUUCGGAAUUACUGGGCGUAAAGGGCGUGUAGGCGGUACCAUAAGUCAGAUGUGAAAGCCCUAGGCUUAACCUAGGAGGUGCAUUUGAUACUGUGGAACUAGAGAUCGAGAGAGGAAAGUGGAAUUACGAGUGUAGAGGUGAAAUUCGUAGAUAUUCGUAAGAACACCAGUGGCGAAGGCGACUUUCUGGCUCGAUACUGACGCUAAGGCGCGAAAGCGUGGGGAGCAAACAGG